UUUUUUCACCAAAUGAAAAAGGAAUUACAGCCAUGGGCCGCCACCCGACCUGUUCAGCCACAAAUCGAACCCUUCCUCCUCCUCCUCCUCGACCGCCGCCGCCAGCGCCGCCGCCACCACCUCUGCCGUUGACCACGCCCUCCAAACGCCCCCACCCCCCGGGCUGAUCUGUGCAACCCCAUGGGGAUCUAUGGCGGUAGUGCUUGGAUCUCGGCGUCGCCUCCCUCCAGACGCUUGUGGUGUGCGAGAUGGAAGUCGCCUCCCUCCCUUCGACACCACUACCAGAACUGGUCGACGCCGCCGGUCGCGUCCCUCCUCCGCGGUGACGAGCAUGGGCGGGUUCCCCACCAUGGCUUCCUUGCCGCCAAUGGCGAGCGCGGUGCCUCCUCUCCAUGCUAUGCUCACGCUCCGUAGAUCCGUCCCAGUGGAAACUCGAUGCAGGUUCUAUCAGUGAAAGGAUUGGAGACUAGUUCUAGUAGUUGUGGUUUGUUUGAUGAAUUUCUAGUGCCCAUGAUUUGCAAAGGGUUUCAGCCAGUACUGGCGUCUAGCAACCUUGAAGCCCACAGUUGACCUGCCUCCUAAUUUGUAUGAUGAGAAAAUGUGUAGAUUGUGUGUGUAAAUCGGAGAUGCCUUGGGUUAUGCCCUCGGAGAAGAUGGAUUGGUCUUGGUGAACGAGGUGGAGGUGAUCGAAGAGGCAAUAUGCUUAUAAAUCAUCUUCACAUCGGGUAUAUUUUUCUCGGCUAUGGGUGUACAUGAUAUGUUUGCCAAAACACUUGCAAAUUAUGGCACACUUACUGGUGAGAGAUCCAUAUGCCUGAUGCCUGAAGUGGAAAAUGUACGAAUUUUAGUUCUUUUUUCAUUGUUUUGAGGUUUUAACCUGACCAGUGACAUGUCUAUGUUUUUUACAAUGUUGCAAGAUGUCCUAUAAGGCUAUUAAGGCAGAUGAUCUUCUUUUCUCCAUUGUCCAAUAUUGAAGCUUUUGUUGCCCAUCAGCAUACACCUCAUCCAGGUUCAUUUCCUAUAUACUGGUUAGAUACUGCUUCAUAGUUGCUCUAGGUGUACUUUGAUUAGCGUCAUCUACUUGUCCCAUCAUCGACAAGGUUAUAUGAUUGCGAGAGAUUAAUAACUUUUGUGAUACGCAUUCAUUUAUUAACUAAAUCAUCAACUUGCUCAAUAAUACUUUUGGGUACUCGUGUGGUGUUUAUGGCUGAUGAAAUAUGCUUUGUUUAAUAGGACUGGAGACAUUUCUGAUGCUUAGGUCAAAACACCGGACCUAUUCUUAUUUGUUUGUAAACUCAGUCCAGUAAUACAAGUUAGCAUUUUGUCUUGAUUGUUCUUGGAAUUAAAAAGGAAACCUUCUUGUUGUUCGUUCUACACCACUAAUCUGUUUAGCCAUCCUUGAGAAAGGCUCGACGGUUGGACGUGAAAACUAUAUUUGUUCUCCUUUUGCUUCUCUGGUUUAGUUUUAAAUUUAAUCUGGGUUGGUUGUUUGCAAUUGAAAAAAUGUUUGUUUCAUGGCUUCCUGUAAAUGUUGUUAGGCACUGUAGAAGCAGAAAUUUAGAAGGGAAUCACAUUACAGAAGAAGGUUCACAGGAAUGGAGCAUCACUCCUUAGCACGUCUACAGAAACAAUGGGGGUUCGUAUGUACAAUUGUGCAUAUAGCUUAGGUGAAGCGAUUUCUGAUUUGCGAAACUCUCUUUAUGUUAAGAUAAAGGGAAGAACUAUAUAAUGCUAAAUUUUCAAUUACUCCUAUAACUAUUGAAUCAAAUCAAAUCUGUUUUUAUUCUUGUGUUUGCCUGCUAUGAAAAAUGAGGUUGGGUGCUAGUGUGUAAAUAGGCAGAGUGAUUCCAGAUUUGUAACACUCUCCUUGUGUUAAGUUGAAGCAAUACAAUGAUCCAAUUUACAUUAUACAAAUUUAUUUUUAUUCUCAUGAUCAUGAAUAUUGCAGUAUUUUUUGUGUGUAAUGAAGAGUGAUUGCUUCCUUGUGGAUCACGUGCUGAAGUACCCCUUUAGACCAUUUUUAUUUAUCUUUAGACUAAUUUAACAUGUGUUAUCUUUCUGGGAAUAUAAAGUCUAUUUGCAGAUGAUAAGUCUUAUGAUUGUGCGCCUGCAGCUCCUUCUAUAGGCCUUAAAGUACCUGACACGCAGUUAUUAUGGGCCAAUGAUAAUUGAACUCCACAUUGCUUCUGUUCUACUUACUUCGCCUUUGUUUCGUUCUUGCGCCAGCAGCGCAAAGGGUGGAAUCUAGUGUACAAAAGAGUGAACAUGUAAUUUGUCUUCCUGGACAUGGUUGCAGCCAUGCGAUGUGCUUAACCAUUUGUGUAGCUCAGUUUGAAGAUAUAAAAUAUUAUUUUCUUAUGUAAAAUUUGUGUACCCUUGUAGCUGAAUGCUACUGAACACAUGUAUGGACGAUGAAGUACUGAAUUAUUAGUCUAUGAAUGUUUCUAAACUUUUAAGGUUUUGGA